CGUACGCCUGCCCAGUGACUGCUCGUUAAACGGCCGCGGUACUCUGACCGUGCAAAGGUAGCGUAAUCACUUGUCUUUUAAAUAAAGACUAGUAUGAAUGGCAUCACGAGAACUAAUCUGUCUCCCUCCCCCAAUCAGUGAAACUGAUCUCCCCGUGCAGAAGCGGGGAUGACAUCAUAAGACGAGAAGACCCUGUGGAGCUUCAAAUCAAAAAUCAACUUGCUAUACUUUACCUGACACAUUCUUAUAGACUUGAUUUAGAUUUUUAGCUGGGGCGGCUGUGGAGAAAAAAUCAUCCUCCACGAAACUCUAUUCCAAGGGCUACUGCCCUAAGUAAUAAUAAAUUAGUUUAAUUGACCCAAUUUUUGAUCAACGGACCAAGUUACCCCAGGGAUAACAGCGCAAUCCACUUUUAGAGUCCAUAUCGACAAGUGGGCUUACGACCUCGAUGUUGGAUCAGGGCACCCAAGUGGUGCAGCCGCUACUAAAGGUUCGUUUGUUCAACGAUUAAAGCCCU
rnacentral:rRNA from 1 species